UACGUAGGGUGCGAGCGUUGUCCGGAAUUAUUGGGCGUAAAGAGCUCGUAGGCGGUCUGUCGCGUCGGUCGUGAAAACUUGGGGCUUAACCCUGAGCUUGCGGUCGAUACGGGCAUGACUGGAGUUCGGUAGGGGAGACUGGAAUUCCUGGUGUAGCGGUGAAAUGCGCAGAUAUCAGGAGGAACACCAAUUGCGAAGGCAGCUCGCUGGGACGGUACUGACGCUGAGACGCGAAAGCGUGGGGAGCAAACAGG
rnacentral:rRNA from 1 species